GUAGUGAUGGCUCAGAGGUUAAGAGCACUGGCUGCUCUUCCAGAGGUCCUGAGUUCAAUUCCCAGCAACCACA
rnacentral:tRNA from 1 species